AGUGAACGCUGGCGGUAGGCCUAACACAUGCAAGUCGAACGGCAGCACAGUAAGAGCUUGCUCUUACGGGUGGCGAGUGGCGGACGGGUGAGGAAUACAUCGGAAUCUACUUUUUCGCGGGGGAUAACGUAGGGAAACUUACGCUAAUACCGCAUACGACCUACGGGUGAAAGCAGGGGAUCUUCGGACCUUGCGCGAUUGAAUGAGCCGAUGUCGGAUUAGCUAGUUGGCGGGGUAAAGGCCCACCAAGGCGACGAUCCGUAGCUGGUCUGAGAGGAUGAUCAGCCACACUGGAACUGAGACACGGUCCAGACUCCUACGGGAGGCAGCAGUGGGGAAUAUUGGACAAUGGGCGCAAGCCUGAUCCAGCCAUACCGCGUGGGUGAAGAAGGCCUUCGGGUUGUAAAGCCCUUUUGUUGGGAAAGAAAAGCAGCAGGUUAAUACCCCGCUGUUCUGACGGUACCCAAAGAAUAAGCACCGGCUAACCUCGUG
rnacentral:rRNA from 1 species